AUGGGAGACUGGCCAUCCUGGGACCUCCUCUUACUUCGUGCUCACAAUGCAAGCGGGGGGUCAGUGUCACAGUCUUCCCUGGAAGAAACUGCAGCCUUGGAGAGCCUCAGCCCCCUGCCUGCAGGGAGGGUGCCAGGGUUUGCACCAUGUCUUCUGACCCCAAGGCUCAUGCACUGUCCACUGUCCACACUGCCUCUUGGAGAAUGUCCAGAACAUCCUCCUGAUUCCGCUCCCUGCCUUUGGGGACAGGUCAUGGGAGGUGGUCCUGCAGCCCUGAGAAGUUGGGGAUGCAACCUGGAACGUGCCCUCUAUUAUCCCCACGUGGUCCAGGGCAGGGAAGAGGCACGGCUAGGGCAGGCCCAUCAGCCCAAUGUGUACGUCCUGCCCCCGUCCCGGGACGAGAUGAACAAGAACACAGUCAGCGUGACCUGCCUGGUCAAAGACUUCUACCCACCUGAGGUUGAUGUCGAGUGGCAGAGCAAUGGCCAGCAGAUGCCAGAAAACAGUAUCCGAACAACCCCACCCCAGCUGGACGCAGAUGGGACCUACUUCCUCUACAGCAAGCUCUCGGUGGACAAGAGCCGCUGGCAGCGGGGAGAGGUCUUCACGUGUGCGGUCAUGCAUGAAGCUCUACACAACCACCACACACAGAAAUCCAUCUCCCCGUCUCCGGGUAAAUGA